rnacentral:misc_RNA from 1 species
AAGAGGAUUCGUUUCAGGUAUUGAUACCAUCAAACUGUAUUAGUAAAGUUACAUAAAUUUAUAACUGACUUAAUACCAAGAAUCAAAUCUUGCGUUAGAUUAUUUGACUAUUGACCUCCCUCCAUACAUCUUCAGCCUGGCUUCUGAUUAUUUUACUGAUUAUUUUAACACUGACUUUAACUUGAGUAAACCGUCAUCAGUGGCGUCGAUAGAACUUGUUCAUACUUGCACAUUCAUGGUUAUCUCUCUUUCUCUCUCAUACAACUGGCAUUACUAAAUAAAUUGAGGAAUAGAUGCUUCGAGUCAAUGCAUAUGUUAUGUGGAAUUCAACUCUAUUGCUUGUAAAUAAUUGCUGAUGCAAUACUAUGCUCUUUGCUGUGAGUUAAUGUGUGUGCAAUGUGGAAUAAACUUCAAAUUUAUGAACAGCAUUACGAUGUGCUUUACCAUUUUGAGCUUCGGCACUGAAUAAUUGAGAUGUCUAUAAAAUAUAGAAGGAAAUCUUUUAGUCGCAAGUUUUGAAGGGAAACAGCCAUUAAGAAAAUUGGAAAUCGCUUGCGUAGAACACUUUGAUUACCAUGCUUAUGGAACAAGAAACUGCAAUUUAAAUUUAGUUUCAAUGAAUGCCAUUCACUGUUUGUCCCUCAAAUCUGGCGGAGCCAUCUAAAUACAGUGCCUACUUCCUGCAAAAUGACAACUUGUAUGCAACCAUAUGGCCUUUCCAACAAAUGUUGUUUUACCAACCACUUGAGUAAUCAAGCAGACCGAGUCUCUCAUAUUACAAAAUAUGUUCAUUUGGUGAUUCUGUGGCAUGCCUCAAUUCAUUAGCAAUUGAAUUUUUUAUUGUUUCCUCUUUUCUUACGUUCCAAUCAUCUUGUACAGUCGGAA